GAUGAAGAACGCAGCGAAAUGCGAUAAGUAAUGUGAAUUGCAGAAUUCAGUGAAUCAUCGAAUCUUUGAACGCACAUUGCGCCCGCCAGUAUUCUGGCGGGCAUGCCUGUUCGAGCGUCAUUACAACCCUCAGGCCCCCGGGCCUGGCGUUGGGGAUCGGCGGAAGCCCCCUGCGGGCACAACGCCGUCCCCCAAAUACAGUGGCGGUCCCGCCGCAGCUUCCAUUGCGUAGUAGCUAACACCUCGCAACUGGAGAGCGGCGCGGCCACGCCGUAAAACACCCAACUUCUCAAUGUUGACCUCGAAUCAGGUAGGAAUACCCGCUGAACUUAAGCAUAUCAAUAAGCGGAGGA
rnacentral:misc_RNA from 1 species